UGGGAACAGGAACGACUAGGGUCGCGGACGCUGCCUCGUCUGCGAAGCCAUGGCAGCCCUCGGCCGGCCCUUCAGCGGCCUCCCUCUGAGCGGCAGCGCGGACUUCCUGCAGUCGCCGCCGGCCUUCGCGGGCCGGGCCUUCCCGCCAGGAGCCGCCGGCCAUGACCUGGCCCCGCGGCCGGGUGUCCGCGGCCCGCCGAGCAGCCCGGACGGUAGAACAGCGCGCGGACGUGUUUCCAUUCACUGUAGAAAGAAACACAAGCGAUUGGCGGAGGACGAUGAGUGUCCAGUAAGAAAGAAGCGCUUGACUGAAGCAGAACUUGGUGCAGUUGCCGAUGAGUGGGUUCUUGGCACACAUCUGUGUGGGUGUUUUGUUUCUUGGCUUGGGGUUUUUUAUUGUUCUUACUUAGUAUGAAGAAAUAAUAUGAGAAUGCAGUUCUCAUGAUAAAAAUCAGUUAAAAACUACUCAUUCUUAAAAAGAUAAAACUAGGAUUUAGAAACAAGACAGGCCUUAGAACUGAGGAGAGACUGUUAACCAGCAGGUUCAUCACCGCUCCGGACCUGGAGCCUGGCUUUGUUUAAUGGUGGCAAGAAUGCUGCAGUGCUGGCGGUGUUCUGGAAGAUGUGUCAGAUUUGCUUUAAAGAUAAGAAUCUGGUGUUUCUGUAUUUUAUUAUUUUCAAUAAAACUCAAGUGUUUUGAA
rnacentral:lncRNA from 1 species